rnacentral:rRNA from 1 species
UACGGGGGGAGCAAGCGUUGUUCGGAUUUACUGGGCGUAAAGGGCGCGUAGGCGGCCACCGCAAGUCGACUGUGAAGUCUCCGGGCUUAACCCGGAAAGGUCAGCCGAUACUGCGGGGCUAGAGUGCAGAAGGGGCAACUGGAAUUCUCGGUGUAGCGGUGAAAUGCGUAGAUAUCGAGAGGAACACCUGCGGCGAAGGCGGGUCUCUGGACAUUUCCUGACGCUGAGGCACGAAAGCCAGGGGAGCAAACGGG